rnacentral:rRNA from 1 species
CAGUAGCCGCGGUAAUACGUAGGGUGCAAGCGUUAAUCGGAAUUACUGGGCGUAAAGCGUGCGCAGGCGGUUAUAUAAGACAGAUGUGAAAUCCCCGGGCUCAACCUGGGAACUGCAUUUGUGACUGUAUAGCUAGAGUACGGCAGAGGGGGAUGGAAUUCCGCGUGUAGCAGUGAAAUGCGUAGAUAUGCGGAGGAACACCGAUGGCGAAGGCAAUCCCCUGGGCCUGUACUGACGCUCAUGCACGAAAGCGUGGGGAGCAAACAGGAUUAGAUACCCGUGUAGUCCCUGUCUCUUAUAC